rnacentral:misc_RNA from 1 species
AACGCACAUUGCGCCCGCUGGUAUUCCAGCGGGCAUGCCUGUUCGAGCGUCAUUUCACCCCUCAAGCGCCCCGCGCUUGGUGUUGGGGCGCUGCCGCCACGCCCGCGGCAGGCCUCCAAAUUCAGCGGCGAGCCCCCGCCGGGAACCCCGAGCGUAGUAGAAGAGAUUGUCAACCUCGCUAUGGGACGUUCCUGGCACCGCCUCGGCCGUAAAAAGUUUUAAGGGGAAGGGAGGGGUUAACCCCCCGCCCGUCCCCCCCGAAGAGUUGACCUCGGAUCAGGUAGGAAUACCCGCUGAACUUAA